rfam:Olsenella uli DSM 7084, complete genome.
AGGGCGCGCUGCUACUGACGGAUGAUCGUGGGCUACCACGGGGGAGCGGCGCGAGCAAACGAUAUGCCGACCGUCUGGGCAUGCGCG